rnacentral:rRNA from 1 species
UACGUAGGGGGCAAGCGUUGUCCGGAUUCAUUGGGCGUAAAGAGCUCGUAGGCGGUUCAGUAAGUCGGGUGUGAAAUCUCCGUGCUCAACACGGAGCGGCCACCUGAUACUGCUGUGACUCGAGUCCGGUAGGGGAGUGUGGAAUUCCCGGUGUAGCGGUGAAAUGCGCAGAUAUCGGGAGGAACACCGGUGGCGAAGGCGGAUCUCUGGGCCUUACCUGACGCUGAGGCGCGAAAGCUAGGGGAGCGAACAGG